CCUACGGGAGACUGCAGUGAGGAAUAUUGGUCAAUGGGCGCGAGCCUGAACCAGCCAAGUCGCGUGAGGGAGGACGGCCCUACGGGUUGUAAACCUCUUUUGCUGGGGAGCAACGGGCGUCACGUGUGGCGCCACUGAGAGUACCCGGAGAAAAAGCAUCGGCUAACUCCGUGCCAGCAGCCGCGGUAAUACGGAGGAUGCGAGCGUUAUCCGGAUUUAUUGGGUUUACAGGGUGCGUAGGCGGAUCGUUAAGUCAGUGGUCAAAUUGAGGGGCUCAACCCCUUCCCGCCAUUGAAACUGGCGUUCUUGAGUGGAAGAGAAGUAUGCGGAAUGCGUGGUGUAGCGGUGAAAUGCAUAGAUAUCACGCAGAACCCCGAUUGCGAAGGCAGCAUGCCGGCUUCCGACUGACGCUGAAGCACGAAAGCGUGGGGAUCGAACAGGAUUAGAUACCCCUGUAGUC
rnacentral:rRNA from 1 species